GGAGACCAAGCAGAGAUUGGAGAAAAUUGAGAGUGAGCUGAAGGCUGUGCUACCUCCGGAGUCUGAAGAGAAGAAAAGAGAACGUAAGGAAGUCGUUGAAAAAGCAUCCAAGAAUGAUCAGGAUGUCGACCAAUAUUUUUGAAUGUGCCAUGGAAACCGGAACAUCUUUGGAGAGCAGACAGAGCUCCUUCCAUUCCCCAGAUGUCCCAUUAAAAGAAGAAAUCCACACUGUCUGCAAUAAUUCUGCUCUUUGCUCAUCAAAAUGAUCUGUUAUCCAAAUCAAACAUAGAGUCUGGAGAGGCAUUUUUGAUUGCUACAAAAUUCAAUGUGCACACAUACACACAAAUACACACAGAAACACAUAAACACACACAGGCAUGCAAUCACA